UCCGGAUGGUGCAAGCGUUAUCCGGGUUCACUGGGUUUUAAGGGUGCGUAGGGGGGUUGGUAAGUCAGUGGUGAAAUCUCCGAGCUUAACUUGGAAACUGCCAUUGAUACUAUUAAUCUUGAAUAUUGUGGAGGUCAGCGGAAUAUGUCAUGUAGCGGUGAAAUGCUUAGAGAUGACAUAGAACACCAAUUGCGAAGGCAGCUGGCUACACAUAUAUUGACACUGAGGCACGAAAGCGUGGGGAUCAAACAGG
rnacentral:rRNA from 1 species